AAGGGAUAGUUUCUCAUUCAGAGAGGGUGGUUCCAGGGUUUCUUCUCUUCCCCCUGGCAUCUAAUAAGGAGGAACUUGAGGCAAACGGAAUAUUCAGCAGCCACUUUAUAAAUUCUCCCAGAACUCCUGCUUCCUCAAUUCACUUCGCUCUCCGAGCUACUGAGGAACUCAGAUCGUAUCUCCAAGUCAGUUUCUUGAAAGCCACCAGAAUGUCCUUCCAGAGUCAGCAGUGCAAGCAACCUUGUCCCAUUCCUCCCCAGUGCAAGAAGACCAUCCCCCCACCUCAGGAGUGCUGCCCCCCUCCCCAGAAGUGCUGCCCCCCUCCCCAGAAGUGCUGCUCCCCACCCCAGCAGUGCUGCCCCCCACCUCAGCAGUACUGCCCCCCUCCCAAGCAAUGUUGCCCUAAGCAGCAGGACCAAAACCCCAAAUGCUGUUAAGACGCCGUUGAAGGCGACGUCAGAACCAGGAAGGGAGACCAGGAAGGAGAAAGUCCACCUCUUGGCUUCAGACCUCAACCAACAUGGAAGCCCACCAAGAAAACAAGACCCGGGAAUUGAUGCUCAAAGAGGACCAUCCACGCAACUCUGCGCUGGCGGCUGUGUUUGUUGACUUCUCGGAGGCCAAACCCAACCACGGAAGACCUGGAGAAGACUGCAGCCCCCAAACCAUCUGGAGAACUUCCGAGAAGAACCGGUCUUGUGAUCCUUAAUCAUGUAAUCAUCUCCUCCUCCUCUCUUCCCCUUACCUUGCUCUCUGCUUGUCCCUUGGCAAAAUGGUGCCUUACCUUGCUCUCUGCUUGUCCCUUGGCAAAAUGGUAUUAAAAUGCAUGAAUUAGCAGACACC